AGCGAACGCUGGCGGCAGGCUUAACACAUGCAAGUCGAGCGGGCACCUUCGGGUGUCAGCGGCGGACGGGUGAGUAACGCGUGGGAACGUGCCUUCUGGUUCGGAAUAACUCAGGGAAACUUGAGCUAAUACCGGAUACGCCCUUUUGGGGAAAGGUUUACUGCCGGAAGAUCGGCCCGCGUCUGAUUAGCUCGUUGGUGGGGUAACGGCCUACCAAGGCGACGAUCAGUAGCUGGUCUGAGAGGAUGAUCAGCCACACUGGGACUGAGACACGGCCCAGACUCCUACGGGAGGCAGCAGUGGGGAAUAUUGGACAAUGGGCGCAAGCCUGAUCCAGCCAUGCCGCGUGAGUGAUGAAGGCCUUAGGGUUGUAAAGCUCUUUUAUCCGGGACGAUAAUGACGGUACCGGAGGAAUAAGCCCCGGCUAACUUCGUGCCAGCCGCCGCCGUAA
rnacentral:rRNA from 1 species